GUGGAGCCUGGCGACUGCUUUGGGAAGUCCUGCUGGCAGGCACUCUGCCCCUGGGGGUGUGCAAAGAGUUGUCCAGUUACCUUGAUCUUCUCACAGCCUCCUCCCCAGGGCACCAGGAGAGACCAGGAUUGGAGGACGGUAAAGAACACACUUCCCAGAGGAUUCUUGGAGGUAGAGUCAACAGGAAGGGGUGGUGAGACCUGCACAGACCUGCUCUGUCCCCUGGGCCUGGUGACAGAUGACCUGGAUGUUGGGUGCAGCUGGGCAGGGACUGCAAUUCUGUGUGUCCCUUUUUCUGGGAGCCACAGGAAACCCAUGCCCUAAUCCACAUCAGACUACCACUUGUCCUUAUCCUCCAAACGCAGCAAAAUAUUACACAAGGUCCAGGGCAAGGCAGGAUGGCCACCUCGCUCACUCAUCACAGCUGUCCUCUGACCUGAGCAGGGCCGUUCUGUCUCAGACCUGGAGACCCCGCACUCAGGGCGUUCAGGAACUCCCCGACCCACCAGGAGCCUCUCCUGGUGUCUCCCAGGGAUUGUCAAUAGUUCCAUUUUCCUUGAAGAACUUGUUUUCAGGUAUGCACUUCUCUAAACACGUAUGCAUUAUUUUUUCUAUUUUAAAUUUAACCACGUUGUUUUAUUUUUAAUCACAUCUACACUUUGUAAAUUUGGAAACGGAGUGAUUUUCCAUGUUCAGUAAUGAUAGCAAGCUUCCUUUUAAAAUACGUUUUACUUUUUAUCUUCUUUUUUUUUUUUUUUUGAGAUGGGGUCUCCCUGUGUCGCCCAGGUUGGAGUGCGGUGGCCGAUCUCGGCUCACUGUAACCUCCGCCUCCCGGGUUCAAGUGAUUCUCCUGCCUCAGCCUCCUAAGUAGCAGGACUACAGGCACACGCCAUCACGCCUGGCUGAUUUGUGUAUUUUUAGUAGAGACAGGGUGUCACCACGUUGGCCAGGAUGGUCUCGAUCUCCUGAUCUCAUGAUCCACCCGCCUCGGCCUCCCAAAGUGCUGGGAUUACAGGCAUGAGCCACCGCACUGGGCCUAAAAUAUGUUUUUUAAGGAAACAAACAAAAAGCAAGUCAGUGUGAUGAGGUGGUAAAUAUAGGACAAAAAAUCAUGAAGGUGUUUCUCAAAUGAGAAAAUUAGAAAAAAACUGUAUCUCACCUUUCCCCCUACCUUACACAUGGGCGAGUGGCAAAUGUUUAUUGAACAAUUGCACAUGUAAGCACCCUGCCAGGUCGUCUUUACAUCCCCAACCACGUUACAAGGUGGAUGUGAUGAUCCCUGUUGGUGAGGACACGGGAGCUCAGGGAAGCCAGCCCAAGGCUACAGAGCCAGCAUUGCACAGUCAGAUAUCAGUGAGGGAGAAGGAAAAGAAAAAUCAUUUGGGAAAAAGUCAGACUGCAGAAGCAGUCGGCCUGAAUAGUCACAGCAACAGGCAGAAAUAAAACAACCUGGGAAAACACUCAGGCUGUACCUGGACAGAUAAACAAGCAAUGUCCAGCCCAGAAUCUCUUUGUUCUUUGUAAUUAGUGAGCUCCCAGGAAAAAUUUCCUCCCCUUUUCAGGCAUAUACAUGAUGAGAACUUGCACAAGGGGGAGGGAGCUUACCUAAAACAAACCCACAGUUAUACAAACAAGAGAAGCUGUACUUUGUGCUUGCCUAGAGACAUACCCACGGCCGCAUAAGAGAAGGGGAGUUGCACAGACACCUUUACUGAUAAGAAAAGUUACCCAAAUAAUUACAGGGAGGAGAGCAGUUUCUUGUAAAAAGCUUUUGAGGCUGGGUGCAGUGGCUCAUGCCUGUAAUCCCAGCACUUCGGGAGGCCAAGGCGGACAGAUCACCUGAGGUCAGGAGUUCAAGACCAGCCUGGCCAACAUCGUGAAACCCAGUCUCUACUAAAAAUACAAAAAUUAGCCGGGUGUGGUGGCACGUACCUGUAAUCCCAACUACUCGGGAGGCUGAGGGAGGAGAUUGGCUUGAACCGGGGAGAUGAAGGUGGCAGUGAGCCGAGAUGACGCCACUGCACUCUAGCCUGGGAGACAGAGCAAGACUCCAUGUCAAAAAAAAAAAAAAAAAAAAAGCUUUUGAAUUCAGCUGUAAACUGGCAGUCCACUUGCACUCCCCUCUCCACUGCAGAGAGUUUUCUUCUUUCACUUAUUAAAUUUUUGCUCCAACCCCAAGUUUGUGUCCAAGUUCCUUAAUUUUCUUGGAUUUAGGACACAGAACCCAGGAUACUAGUUCAGACAAUGAGGAACUGCUAGGUUAAGGUGCAUUGGUGAGACUGCAACAUCAGGACCUGGGUUUUCCUGAAGGUUGGAGGGAGAGAAAAGCCAGUUCCCUGGCUUAAUCUCUGUGGUUGGCCACCACCCACUUAAGUUUCAAGCCACAUAGGAUCAAAUCCACAGAGACGACGUUCAGGAAUAGAAGCCUGAGCUCAACCACAGCAGUGUGGUGAUAGGAAUGAGAGAGUGGGGAGAUGCCACAAUAUCCAGUUAUAUGUAGAAAAAGGCUAUUGUGUCAGCAGAUUUUAUAGAAAGGGCUGGAAUGAACAGGCUGCCACACACUGUCUCUGCAGGAACAAGAUUCGCAAGGAUACAAACAAAUGCAUUUAUAGGAACUCACUAGGCAACAGCAAUACCAUUGCAUUGAUAGGUGUGCAGACAUGUUUGUGCAGGGAGUAGAGAGAGAAGAUGGGUAGCCAAGGAGAGAGAGAGAACAGCAAAUCCCAGUGUUUCUUUCAGCACAACCUCUCAGGAACUCAUAAUUAAUGCAUUAAUUCUCACACCCCUGUUUCUGGACUUUUGUGUGUUUCCUCACACUUCCUUUGAUCUCAUUUUCCAAAGGAUAAAUGAAGUCUAAUGGAGAUAAAGCACUGACAUUUACAGAGGGUUAGAGACUAAUGAUAUUAAUGACAUUCUUGUGGUUUGUCCAACAUUAUUUUUGUGCAGAUUUCAAUUCAUGCUGCACUCAUCCUGGGGGCAAAAGUUAAAGGUUUUCUAAAAAGCUACUUAGUGAAUGUCUUAGUUAAUGGAAAAGAAAAUAAGUCAAUCCUUUUUUUUCUAACCUUGAAGUUGCAAAGAUUGACAAUGAACUCUGUAAUGGUGCAUUCUCCUCUUGUGUGGUUUUUGAAAGCUGAGUUAUCCUUCCUGUAAUGAUUCUGCACCUGCAAACUAUACGUGGCUUCCUCCAGGCAGUAAAUCUACAGCCCAGGCUCCCUGCAUCUUAUGGCUCCAAUCACUUUGGAUCUCAUCGUCGCCUGCACAUUGCCAUACACAGGGAAGGAGAAGAGAUGGAGAAGGCAAAGACUUUCUGAAAGCCGUGGCUAAAAGCUGGCAUGUGUCACAUCAGCUCACAUUCCAUUGUAGAGACGGGGUUUCACCGUGUUAGCCAGGAUGGUCUUGAUAUCCUGACCUCGUGAUCCGCCCGCCUUGGCUUCCCAAAGUGCUGGGAUUACAGGCGUGAGCCACCGCUCCCGGCCUGGCAGGCAUUCUUGAGGCAAACGGGAAAUGGGGUAAGUUACACAAUCGAUACAGCUCCGUCAUCGUGGUUUAAUUACUUUUCCACGUACCAUGUUUCCUGACAGGUAGAACGAUCAGCCUGGGCCUCCGUUUUUCAUUCUACAAAGAAUGAAGUGCAUGAACUGUCCUCUAUAGAAUUGUGGAAAAAGUUGUUUUUAUUGAGUUGUGGUUAUCUUUGUCUUCAUGGUCUAAUUACGGAAAUAAAUGCUUUUCCGAGUCUCCGGGGAUGGUCUGCCCUAGUCCAGCUCUCUGCAGUGUCUUUCUGGGUUUUUCCUCAGUGAACGGGAGGAACAUUGGCAGCACUUGUGGUCUGCACCAAGAACUGAAUCGAAUUUCCAUGUGUUAUUGAAUGUUCACAAAGACCUUGUACAGCGAGUGUUACUACCUCUGGUCAAUGAUUCAACUCAAGGCUCAGAAAAGUCAAGUGUCUUGUCCAGGGACACUUAGUCAGAAGUGAAUCCAAGGUUUAAGCUCAAGUCUGCCUAACUCUGAAUUUCACAGCCUUUUGCUACAUAUGGCGAAUAAUAUAUCCCUGAGCACUAAAGGCAGACUCCAAGGAUCUUGUCUCUGCAAUCAUCAUUCUGGCCAUAAUUUAUGAAAAGCAACCCAAAGUAUGUGAUGUAAUAAAAAGUACUAUCUAUGAGUUUACCCUUCCAAAAAUUGAACUGAAUUCUGAGCUCUAAAUUUGGAAUCAAAAGAACUUUUCUCUGCACUAAUCAUUUGGAACAUCACUUAAAGAAAACAACGAAAAACUGGUGUCCCCUGAGAGAAAGCAAUACAAAACAUUAUGCAUAAAGAAAUCCUUCCAAAAAAUAAACCAAAUCCAGUCAAAUCUCUAGUUUUGACUCCUAGCUUACCGGAAAUACGUGAUGGGAAAAAAAUGAAAUGACACCACUAUGAUUCAAUCAGCCAAAUCCAGCAUAUGCAAAUUUCUACCAGAUAAAUGGUUUAGUUUCUUCCCCAAACAAAUGGCACAAGGAAACGGAGGUAAGAAUGGGAUGCUGUUAUAGAUUUUAAAAGAUUUAAGAAAGUAUAAACUAAAUACACUAUGUGCAUCCUCUCUGAACGUGCUUCAAACAUAUCAAGGGGUCAAUGAGCAGUUUUGAAACAAUAAGGGAAUUUGAACACUGAAUGGUUGUCAGAAGAUAGUAAGAGAUCAUUAUUAAUUUUACUAGACAUAAUGAUGUUCUGAUUUUGUUUUUUUUUUAAAAAAAAAACAGUGUUAUUUCCUUUAUAGAUACAUCAUAUAGUAUUAACUAAUGAAAUGCUUUGAUAUCUGGAACGUUUAAAAAAUAUUCCCGAUGGAGUAAGUGCAAAGAAACAGGUAAGCAAAAUGCUGAUAAUUGCUGAAACACAGGAUGUGUACCUGGGGCUUCAUUUACUAUCUCUUCAUUUUCUAUUUUGAUAUUUGUUGGACAUUCUCAUAAAAAGGAAAGUUAUGUUUUAUUUUCUCAUAAGCUAGUAAUGAAAUAGCCCUACGUAACUGAUAUUGUAGAGACAAGAAUAGGUGUAAUAGAGCUUAAGGUUUUCAUUUAAAAAACUAUCUGUAGACUUCAAUGGAUCUUAGGUGGCAUCCAUGCAAUAACACUCGUGGAACAUGCAGGACAGGUGUGGAGCUCCAUCUUCACACAGUGACAUUUUUUAUGCUUCUGUUUUCCCUAAGAGUGGAGUGAGAGGAUGAUUAUUUUAUAUCAUGGACUUCUUCCCUGCUAUACUUUUUUUAAUUAUUUUACUUUCACUUCUGGGAUACAUGUGCUGAGCAUGCAGGCUUGUUUACAUAGGUAUACAUCUGCCAUGGUGGUUUGCUGCACCUAUCAACCCAUCAUACAGGUUUUAAGCCCUGCAUGCAUUAGGUAUUCGCCCUAAUGCUCUCCCUCGCCUUUCCCCCCACCCCCUGAUAGCCCCCAGUGAGUCAUAUUCCCCUCCCUGUGUCCAUGUGUUCUCAUUGUUCAACUCCCAUUUAUGAGUGAGAAUAUGUGGUGUUUAGUUUUCUGUUCCUGUGUUAGUUUGCUGAGAAUGAUGUUUUCCAGCUUCAUCCAUGUCCCUGAAAAGGACAUGAGCUCAUUCUUUUUUAUGGCUGCAUAGUAUUCCACGGUGUUAUAUGUGCCACAUUUUCUUAAUCCAGUCUGUCAUUGAUGGACAUUUGGGUUGUUUCCAAGUCUUUGCUAUUGUAAAUAGUGCUGCAAUAAACAUAUGUGUGCAUGUGUCUUUGUAGUAGAAUGAUUUAUAAUCCUUUGGGUAUAUGCCCAGUAAUGGGACUGAUGGGUCAAAUGGUAUUUCUGGUUCUAGAUCCUUGAGGAAUUGCCACACUGUCUUCCACAAUGGUUGAACUAAUUUAUACUCCCACCAACAGGGUAAAAGCAUUCCUAUUUCUCCACAUCCUCUCCAGCAUCUGUUGUUUCCAAAUGUUUUAAUGAUUGCCAUUCCACCUGGCGUGAGAUGGUAUCUCAUUGUGGUUUUGAUUUUCAUUUCUCUAAUGACCAGUGAUGAUAAGCUUUUUUUCAUAUGUUUGUUGGCCACAUAAAUGUCUUCUUUUGACUUUUAUGUGGAAACAAAUUUAACUGCACAGAGAGGUGAAAAUUAAUUAAUAACUUUUAAAGUAAUUCCCUAAGUUUCUAAGGAUCUAUAUGUUUCCAUCUGACUUUAUUUUAUUUAAGCUCUUGAUUGAUGCUGCAUUUGGAGCAGGUUCAUGAACAUGAAUAGAGUUAAUCUGGGACAGAUUUCCCUCAUUUGAUUUUUUCACUGUUUCCAUCACAGAACUUAUUUCAUGCUCACCAUGUUUGCAGGCAUUGAGCUUGGUACUGGAGCCACAGAGCUGGAUCAGACAGACUUGUGCAAAUAUUUCAGGUUUUUUUUGUGGGGGGGUCAUAUUUAUAGAUAAAUAACAGUAAAGAGUGACGGGUUCUUAUGAAAAUGCAUACACAGUGAAGUAGAGGGUGAAAAGGAGGGAUGUGUUCUAUGAGGAGGAAGAGUGAUAAGAAAGUGUAAGGGGAUGUGUCUGUGUCUAGACAUAUGUGUGUUCACGUGUGUGCGUGCUUGUGUGUACUGCAUGUGUAUAUGUGUGGCCAUGCACCUGUGUGCAUGUUCAUGUGUGUGUGUGUAUGUGUCUGUGUUGAGGACUAAAUUAAUUGGGCUUAUGGAAGCAGGGAGCCACUGAUAGGUUUAAUUAGAGACUGACAUGAUAUGAUAGUUUAGGUGGAUUUCUCUGGGGGCUGUGUUGAGGGACAGUGGGGAGGAGAGCUAGAAGGAAGAAAAGGACACAUGCAUAACAGAAGCAAUAUCUGUCUAUGGGAUGGUGGAAAGAAUCAGAAAAGACUUAAUAAAACAUGUGACACUUUAACUGAAUCUUGAAAUAGACAAGUGUUGGAGGAGGGAGUUGGACCAGAUACUUCAUGCAAAGGGAAGAAAAGUGCACAAACAAAAUAUGAGAAACAAGGCAGACAGGCAUUUUUUUAAAAUUUUCGCACCCACUGAUAGACCAGUGAUGCAUUCACAUCGUCUGCAUUCAUGAUCAACAAAAGUGCUUUCCUAGAACAUGAACCUCAACCCAAGUGUCGCCUCAAGUAGUGUAUGCAUGAACUCAAGCAUUAAAUUAGAAUUGAUUUUUUAAAAAACUCACACAAACAGAUGUAUUAUUUAAAAAUCUUUAAAGCAGGUUUAAACAGUUUUCAGGAUUAAAAGCAGCCACUAUUAGAAAGAACAAAAAUACAUUUGACAUAAAUAUAAGGAGCCUCAAUAGAACCUCCUGUACCCAGUCAUUGUCAAUGCCACAUCCAUUCAUUCACCAGCCCUUAUAUCAAUGCUUGCUGGGCUCACUUACCACGAUCAGCACGUGCAUGUCCUUAUCUGAAAGCUUGCCACUCAAAUGUGCUCAGUCUUACCUGUGUGGCUGGGAGUGUUGGGGAUUUAAUGUCAAGGGAAAGAAUCUUCCAUCAAUGAAUGAUGAAAGUUAGUUUUCACAACUUCCGGUCCCCUUGGCCCUCAUCAAAGGGCUCCAGGUGAGGUUUGGGCUCCUUGCUAUCCUCCGAGUUUCCACGGUAGUUUUAAGCACCAUUGCCCGUGGUAAUGGCUGACAUUGAUACUGCACUUUUUUUUUAUUUAAGAUGGAGUUCCCCUCUGCCACCCAGACUGGAGUACAGUGGCGCGAUCCUGGCCAUCGCAACCUCCGCCUCCCAGGUUCAAGCGAUUCUCCUGCCUCAGUCUCUCAAGUAGCUGGGAUAUGGGCACCUGUCACCAUGCCCAGCUAAUUUUUUUAAAAUUUAUUUUUAGUAGAGAUGGGGUUUCACCAUGUUGGCCAGGCUGGUCUCGAACUCCUGACCUCAGGUGAUCCACCCACACUUUUUAUUGUUUGCCUACACUUUCUAGACUUGCUUCAUCAGCCUACUCCGUUUCUGGUUGAUAUGGUUUGGUUGUGUCCCCACUCAAAUCUUAUCUAGAAGUGUAAUCCCCAAGUCUCAAGGGAGGGACCUGGUGUGAGGUGAUUGGAUUGGGGGGUGGUUCCCGCCAUGCUGUUCUCAUGAUAGUGAGUGAGUUCUCAUGAGAUCUGAUGGUUUUAUAAGGCAGUUUUCCCUAUUCUUGCUCACUCUUCUCUCUCUUUCUGCCAUGUGAAGAAGGUCCUUGCUUCCCCUUCACCUUCUACCAUGAUUGUAAGUUUCCUGAGGCCUCCCCUCAGCCAUGCACAACUGUGAGUCAAUUAAACCUCUUUCCUUUAUAAAUUACUCAGUCUCAGGUCGUAUCUUUAUAGCAGUAUGAGAAUGGACUAAUACACUGGUCUAUCCUUCAUCCAAAUUAACUACCUGCACUGCAGUCCUUGUCUCAGGCUCUGCUUUGAGGGACCCCAACUGUGACAGCCGCAUUAGAAUGCAUCACAUACUGCAGUGAAAUUCUAGAGUGGGUGUUGUCAGGUGGUGAUGAUUGUUAGAUAUGUCAGUCUGUUUUCAGGCUGCUGAUAAAGACAUACCUGAGACUGGGUAAUUUAUAAAGGAAAAGGAGGUUUAAUGGACUCACAGUUCCACAUGGCUAGGGAGGCCUCACAAUCAUGGCAGAAGGUGAAAGGCACGGCUUACAGGGUGGCAGCAAGAGAGGAAAUGAGAACCAAGUGAAAAGGUUUCUGCUUAUAAAACCAUCAGCUCUUGUGAGACUUAUUCAUUACAAUGAGAACAAUAUGGGGGAAACUGCCCCCAUGAUUCAAUUAUCUCCCACCAGAUCCCUCCUACAACACAUGAGAAUUGUGGGUGCUACAAUUCAAGAUGAGAUUUGAGUGGGGACAAAGUCAAACCAUAUCAUUAGAUAGGACACUGGAGAAAGGCAAGAAAGAAAAGACAUCUGAAGAAUGAAGGGAGCCAAAGAAAUGCCAACAUUUUGCUUUUUGAAGAAAAGCUAAAUUAAAGUCAAAAUGGAUUUAUCAAUUUCCUUGGGUUCGUGAAUGUACAGAACUUUAUUAAGGUAAGUCAAAACUUCUCUUUUUAUACUUAACCCAACUCAAAUUGGCUUAUGUAGGGGAAACAAGAAAUCAAAACCCAAAGGAACAUGCCAGUUCAGGAAUAUACAGUUAGCUAAGCUUCUUACUGAACAAAUAAAAUCACAAAGCAUGUAUGCAGAUAGACCACAAGUGACUAUAGUGAGGUAGUUUAUUUCAGCUCUAUUUAUCUGGAAUUAAUGCUACACCAUCUGACAUAUUAAGCAGUUAUGCAUCAGGUAUCAGUAGUUACAUCUUCCAGUGCCUCUUACAGUUGCCCCUGAUGGUAUAUCUACUCGAAAGUAUGUAAGUGCACUCACAUUCUUCAACAUUUCCUCAUUAAAGCCAGAUGGAAUUGGGCUUCUUAUACUUGCUAUUCAUUCAUUUAAUAUUAUUAGAGUGUCUACCAUGUAGUAGGCAUUUUCUGUAAAUGCUGGGGAUAUCUUGAUAACAAAGACAAAACCUUUCCCCACAUAGAUCUUAAAUUUUAGUGCGAAGAGAAAGACAAUGACUAUUUUGAAGUUACGAAGGGGAUUUGCUGAUUUGAAUGCCUACUUAGGAGAUUCAGAAGUGGUUGGAUUUAGGUGCUUAGAUUAAGUCAUCAGGAAUUUCCACCUUCUACCCAUAACAGUGAGCAUCUGAAACUUACAAAACAAUAUUUCCUAUUUUACUUCAUUUUAUUUUAGAGACAGGGUCUUGCCUGUUGCUCAGUCUGGAAUGCAGUGGCACAAUCAUAGCUCACUGCAGCCUCAAUUUCCUGGGCUCAAGGGAUCCUCCCAAAGUGCUGGGAUUACAGGUAUAAGCCACCAUGCCCGGCCAAGAUACUCUAUUUUUAAUUUACAGUUUAUAUCAAGACACUGAGCCAGGGGAAUUUGAAGUCACCCAUCCAGUGGUCUUAGCAUCUUUGCUCACACACUGAAUGACUUGAUGUAAAUGACUGAAUCAGACUUGUUUGCUUAUAGCUGACACCACCGAGCAAACAUAUUCUCUCUUUCUCUGGGACAACACCUGAUAUGGUCUGGCUCUGUGUCCCCACCCACAUCUCAUCUUAAAUUGUAAUCCAAAUUGUAAUCCCCACAUGUUGGGGGAGGGACCUCAUGGGAAGUGAUUGGAUCAUGGUGGUGGUUCCCCCUGUGCUAUUCUCGUGAAAGUGAGUGAGUUCUCAUGAGAUCUGAUGGUUUUAUAAGGGGCUCUUCCCCCUUCAUUUUGCACUUCUGUCUCCUGCUGCCUUGUGAAGAAGGACAUGUUUGCUUCCCCUUCCACCAUGAUUGUAAGUUUCCUGAGGCCUCCCCAGCCAUGCCAAACUGUGAGUUAAUUAAACCUCUUUCCUUUAUAAAUUAUCCAGUCUCGGGUAUUUCUUUAUAGCAGCAUGAAAAUGGACUAAUACAGCACCUAUCUCCCAGUAUUGUAUUUUCACAAUGGAAGUUUUAAUCCAGGGAUGUCUAAUCUUGUGGCUUCCUAGGCCACACUGGAAGAAGAAUUGUCUUGGGCCACACAUAAAAUACACUAACACUAAUGAUAGCUGAGAAGCUAAAGAAAAAUCACAAAUAAAUCUUACAAUGUUUCAAGAAAGUUUACGAAUUUGUAUUGGGCUAUCCUGGGCUGCGUGCAGCCAUGGGCUAUGGGUUGGACAAGCUUGGUUUAAUCCAUAGAUGGAGCAUUCUACACAGCUCCCUUAAAGAUGUUCCAGAAGUGCUGACUCUGUGUCAGGCACCAUGUUCACCACUUAGAUGUUCGUUUAAUCCUUACAAAAGAGCCAUGGAGCAUGGACUGUUACUGUGGCAGAUGUGUUAGCCUCCUGUGGUUGCCAUAACAAAAUACUACAAACUGCGUGGCUUAAAACACCAGGAAUUUAUUCUCACUGUUCUAAAAGACGGAAGUCCGAAAUCCAGGAGUCAACAGGGCUGUGCUCCUUUUUGAGGCUCUAGGGAAGAAUACUUCCUCCCCUCUUCCAGCUUCUGCUGGCCACAGGUGUUCCUCGGCUUGUGGCCACAUCACUCCAAUUGCUGCCUCCAUCCCACAUAGCCUUCUUCCCUAUGUGUGUGUUCUCACAUGGUCUUUGUAUAAGGAUAUCAGUUAUGGGAUUUAGUUCCUACCAUAAUCCAUCAUGAACUCUACUGCACUAAUUACGUCUACAAAGGCCUUAUUGCCAAAUAAGGUCACAUUCUGGGGUUUCAGGUGAAUAUAAAUUUUGGAAGGACACUAUUCAACCCAGUACAACAAGUAAAAUUUAAAAAGGCACCCUUUUACCUUGGCAUGUUAUCUCACUUGAUUUUUAUAACAGCCCUGUAGAUUAAACAGAUAAUAUGUUAUAUUCCCACUUCUAGAUAUCAUCACCCAUUAUUUGAGAGAAUGGAAAUGAAGUUCAGGGCUGUUAACACUCCUGCCACUGAAACAUCCCAGGCCAGUGACCUUUUCAUGUCUGACCUAACAGGUGGUUUCCAACCACAGUUACUUGUGACAUCAUUCCAUCACUCCCCAUACACAUUCCCUGUAGAUCAACUUAUCUGGCCCUACAAUUAUAGUUACAGGGAAUUUUACAUUCUUCAUCUUCCACAGGCAACUGAAUCUUCUGGGACAAAAAGCAUAUGUUCUCCCAUAGUAAUAAAAUUUCCCUUUUUUAGCCUGGCAUGUGACUGCCAAUAAUAACACUUCCCAGACUCUCAGGUGUCCACGUCUAUCCAAAGGGAAAUAUAGUCAGUGAUAACUUCCAGACAUAGAUGAAACAUGCCACACCUUAUAGUCACUUUAUGGGGUUCAUUCUCUCUUCCCAUAGACUGUCAUGCUGUCAUCAUGGCUGGAUCUGAUACGGCCACCGUGGACCUUGAGGUGACCUCGGGAAUGGAGACAGUGCAUGGGAGAGAAUCACAUUGGAAGGGGCCUGGGUUUCUGAAGACCCUGUAAGACAGAUCUCCUUGCAGCCCUGACUGCCCACAUUAGGGCUUUUAUGUUAGGGUGAAGUUACCUUGCAUUGUCAUAUAAGCAAUUGCUAUUUGUGGUGUCUUGCAAAUAAACCUAUUCUGAUCUAGUAUGUUUCCUAAAAAACAAAAGUUUGAACCCAGCUCUUUACGUGUUACAUGUUCUGAAUACAAAAAUAAGACCCAGUUUCUGCCCCCUAGCAGGACCCAAAACCCCUCAGUGAAGGCAUACACCAUAGGAAUAAUCUCACAAGUACUUU
rnacentral:lncRNA from 1 species